rnacentral:lncRNA from 1 species
AUCAUUCUGCCAAGCUAAGCCUGGGAUGAAGUCUACAUUGCAGUCACUCUAUCUGUCAGGGCAUCAAUGCACGGGGUCACACUCUGGUCUUGGGCAUCAGUGCCCGGGGUAACAUCAACGCUGGCUCCACUAGAGCCUGCCUUAGAAGUCUCCCUCAACAAAGUCUGAAUGGCUGAAUGUACCUUAGCCUCCUCAACUUUGGUCAGACCCUCAUAGGUGGUCUCCUCCUGAACAUCGAGCUACUCUUCAUCAAUCUCAUUCUUGGACUCUACAGCCACAUCAUCAUCUCUAACCUCAUCUCCGGUGAUAACUGGAGGAACA